AUCAAGCUGACGAGUGAAAAAUAGGACGAAACGUACGUCCUGGAU
rfam:Schistosoma curassoni strain Dakar, Senegal genome assembly, scaffold: SCTD_scaffold0002588